ensembl:lncRNA
UUGCUGGCCUCUGCACUAGAGGUGUGUACAAAAUCUAACUGGGGCGUUCCUGUGCUCCAAUAUCCUCACACACAUUAUUUCAAAACACUAACCGUCUGUCUCCACUGCUGUAUGGGUCUUAACAUCUGGAAAAUAAGUACGUUUUAUAUGGAUACUGUGUAUACUCAUCUCUUGGACUGACUCAUGCUGUCAGGUAAAAUGUGUUUAAAGUUCCCUCACUGGACAAGUACUCUGAGAGUCUUGUCUCAAAUGAAUAUGUUUGGGAGAAAAACACAUUCCUCAAAAGUCUUUGUGGACAAAUGUGAUGUGGAAGAAAAAGGGAUCUGAGAUCCCUGGGGUGGGGCCAGGGGAUUUAUGAGCUGACCAGGCUGGAGCUGUGGCCUACCUCAGCACCUGAGUGAGAAGCUUACCAGUCCCUGAGUCCUCUCCAUCCCUGACCUCAAGCGGCAGACAGCAUCAGGAGCGUAAAGCCCAUGGGUCACGUUUUCUGUCACUGGAGUCUUCUGAAUGCCCAGGCAUGCCAAUGGAGACCUGGCCUUGCUCACUCAAGCCUCCCCUGGCAGCCCAGUACCAGACAAAGCAGCUAAGGUAAAUCUAAGUCCAUCACAUCCACUCUUUAGGUCUCAGAGUCCAAUCCAUGCAAGAGUGCCCCCAGACCCAGGAUUGAUGAGUAGAGGUGGGGGCGAGUGGGAAGGAAAUAGAAAUAACUCAUUUCCCAUGGCAUCCACUCUACAAGCUUGGGUGAGCAUGACUGAUCAACUUCAUAUAGGUUGGGAAGGAUAUUAGUCGUUACAACAAGAUCUGAAAGUUCUAAGUUUUCUCUAUCAGUGCUUCAGAUAGAACAAGUCGUCUGUUUUACCUGGAAAUUCCAGUGUCAGAGCUUCUGUUUCUCUAACCUCUGCAGGGGCUAAGACUUGGGUGUCAUUAUUAGUCACUUGUACUCUAGCACGUAGAGAGGGCCUAAGACCUGAUGUUCUUGGGGACAUGGACAUAUUGGGGAGCAAGGCCUCCAAAAGUGGGCAUGAGAGGUUUGUCAAGGCCAGAGGGACUUAGAAUAUAAGCUUUACACAUCUCUGAGGCCGGCCCUGUCUCAUAUUCCCUUUCCACUGCCUCACUACACAGCAAUGCCUUCACUGAUGAAACCUCUGGGGAAGAAACUCCUUUACAAUGAACACGGUGUGUUAAAACAAAAUAACAGCUUCAUAAAUCACACUAAACUGUGCUGCAAUAUAUUAGAUGGUUCAGCUGCAAUAUUCCCGCUGAUCUAUGCAGUCAGGGCACAAAUCUCGCAGGCACAGUUUUGAUUCAUUCCCCGCAGCUGAAGGAAAACAGAGUCUACCCGCCCUCAUUGGAGUCUCUACCUCCCCUCCUUCAGGUAUUCUGAGACCUCUUGCUCUCUGACCCUCACAACCACGAAAUUCAGUCAACAAAAUUAUUUAUUGAUGGUCCACUCAGUACCAGAUAAGGGGAUUUAGUGGUUAAACACACACUCACACACAUGCCCCCCACAUUCACACUCAGGGAGAAAUUAAGCAAAUAGUCACACUAAUGUAUCACAAAGUAUGAUACGGGUUGUGAAGCAGAAUAAAAUGGUAAGAAAUCACAUUAGAAGGGAAUCUGACUAAUUUGAUGGGGAGAAUGACAUUGGGAUGUGUAAAAUUCCUACGGUGGGAAAGAGUUUGGUCUAUUCAAGGAACUAAAAGAAAGGACAGUACACCUGACUAGAGAAUGAGUGGCAGAAGCCCAAUAGGUAUGCUGGCAGGAUCAUGGGAAGCCAUGGGGUCAUGCUAGGGAUUUUAGUCUUUAUGUAAGAACACAUGGGGAUCCCCAGAAGAGUUUGUAGGAAAAGGGUUAUGAGAUCAAAUGUGCAUUUUAAAGAAAAUUUUAUUUUAUAGACAACAGAGUGGAGGGGAGGAAGAGUGGAUGGGAGAGACAA